rnacentral:lncRNA from 1 species
GGACUUUUGCCAUCAUUUGAGCCACAUCAUAUUUCAUUGACUGAGCUAUUAUUUCCCUCUGGUUUACAGACGGGGAAACCAAGAUGCUACGUGACUUGCUCAAGAUCACACAGGUAGUAAGAGACAGAACCAGGAUUUGUACCCAUGUAAUCUGACUCUGAAGUGCAUGUUCCAAUCACUACACAUGCUGCUCUCGGUGAACAGUGACUCUUACUAUGAAACAGGAGGCAAAAUGAGCUUGCUGCCAUGAGGAUAGAGCCCAGGAUGUUGUCCUGUGUGUUGUAGAGUGAUGUAUCCUCUUCUACCUCAACGACCACUAGGUUCCUGUAGGCAAAUUAGGAGUGAUUGAGCCAUGAGGAAUAAAUCCAGCCACUCCACUGCUUUUGCUGACUGAUACUCAAGUUCUUUUGUAGAAACUUGAAAUUCCACAAUAUCAGUAGGGAAGAAUAAGAGGUUACUUUUAGUUCCCCAGGCAGUGUGCCAAAGGUUGAGAUGCUCUUUAAAAAAUUUUAAAGAGUUGCCCUUUCUGACCGUGACAAAUCUCAUCCCAUAAAUGUCAGAUAAGUUGCUCUGCCACACAGCAGGUGGUCUGUCCCCAACUCCCUGUUAGUGCUGGGCCCUGGCAAAGUCAGGAGGUUGUGCGGUGGGUUCUACAGAGGGCCCUGUCCAGACAUGGAUGCCCUGGGGCUUGGGAGAGGGCUUCCAGAAUGUGGGGCAGGAGGUAGUGCUGAAGGACAGCUUCAAAUUCUGGGAAUACUUGGAAGAGUGAAAAGGCAAGUCUAUUUUCAUAUGGUUGAAGACAGCCCUACCCUCUAAGACCAUUUGCAGAUGUGAGUCUAGCAGUUUCUAUGAAAUGUCUUUGUCCCCAACUGGCAGAAUCUAGAAAAACCUCGUGGGGUUGGAAUGACCCAAUUUGCUGACUCCAAAGCCAGGCUUUGGUCAUCAUGCAGGCAAUUCUGUCUUCAUGCGGUUGCAUGCAGGUGAGGCUGGAGCAGACAGCAUGUUCUGGAACACCUUAAUGAUGUCAGGACGCUUUUCAUUGCUCAUCUAUCACGUAACAGCUCAGAUUUGCAAUGUGCUACCUGCGUUCUCCCUUUAGCACAGACAAUGCGUUCUUUCAACAGUGUGCGGCUCCAUGGGAAAGGCUCUGCUGAAAGUGAAGUGGUGGGGUCCACAGCUGCCCCUCUGGGAAGGAGUGGUAUGGGGGCAGGUGGGGACCAGAUGCCUGGCCACAGCCGAGCUGGGGAUGAGCACAUGGAACAACCGCUUCUGGUUACACUUACUCGUUUCUCUGUGCUGAAAGGUGUCAUAUAAAUGCUAAGAACAGAGAGAGAUGGGGCCUAUUUAUUUGCAUUUUGUCUAAUGUGAGCAGAUGCAGAUAGAAAAGAGGCUUAGCCACAGCCGUUCACCUGCCCCGCUAGGCCUUCCAUCUUCAGUUCAUUUCAAUGCCUCCCGCGUCAGUUCCGCUCCAGUGCUGCAGCAGACAUGGCAUGGGGUGCAAAAGGGGCACAUGCCCUCUGUCUUCAGUGGGUUUGCAAAACUUGUGAAAGAGACAGGUUUAACCACAGGAACCAUCUGAGGACAAUACAACCCAGCAUAUGGCUCAGUGGUAAGUCAUGGGGAACAAUUGAAAUGCUGGAGGAGGUUGUGGAAGAGAGGACCACGCGUGGAUGGGCAGGAAGGCUUCUUAGGGGAAAUGAACUGGACUUGCCCUGUGAAGCUGGCCAGCAGGUAGGUGGGCAAAGAUGGUGAGCAUCGAUUGUCUACGCCCUUUGCCAGACCCUCACAUCUGCUAUUCUACUGACAUACUCCCCUCCUCUCUUUCAGUGGUUGGGUCUCCCUUAUCAAUUAGGACUUGGCUUAAAAGACUUCCACGAGGCUUUCCUCAACUGUUCUAAGUAGCAGUGCUCUGCACUGCAUUAUUCUCUAUCACAGUAUUCUGUUUUUUCCUCCCUCAAUGUAAUACAAUGUAUAAUUAGAUGUUUGCUUGUUUCAGUCUUCCCCAUUGCAUUUCAGCCACCACACAGUCAGGGGCCAUAUGUCUGCUUCAUUCACUUUUAUAUUCACAGACAUGCACAAUGCCUGGAGCCUAAGAGGUGCUCAGUAAAUACUUGCUGAAUGAAUGAGUGACCUUUGAGGAAAGCCUCAUUAGCAAAUAUAUUUCUUGGCCAGUUGAAUCCAAGCUCUUGUUUUAUAUUCCAGAAAGAAAACCUGCAGAUUCCAUUGAUCUGGCAUGGAGCUGGAUGUCUUUCAGGAUGAAGAGUUUUCAUUAAAACACAGCCACAACAAAGCAAGAAAAAAGAGCAAUUGAUAUACAAGUGAAAUCACAAUGACAUCAAUAAUCCUGAAUUUCUUCUUCACACUCACUCAUGAAAAGUCUCCGAUUUUCCCACCUUGCUCAGCCACCUUAAGUGCCUUCCUUCAAGAUAUUUCCUACUGCUUCUAAAGAGGAUCUCCCAUUGGCUUGGGAGCAGCGUGAAAUGCAGAUCUGUAGGGAUACAGACAAAGAACAUAUGUAAACCCUUGGGAAUGGACAAUGAUGAAAUGACCCCAAACAUGAUUAUUCCUUGCUACUUCCUGAAAUCUGUUCCUCAAAUCCCCAAACUAACAGUUCCCUGAAUUUACAGUUCACAAAAGUGUUCAAGGGUUUUCAGACCCUUCGCCUGGCUCCACAGAAAGUGCGGAAGGGAGGGAUUUUAAAGAUGUGCACAAGUGGGUCAGCCAAGGUUCACUUCUUGAGAUCUUCCAGAUAUUUAUUAGGAGUUCAUGGGAGGGGAUGUUCAUUUCUGUAGACACAGGAUGGAUUUUUCAAAAUGUAAAGUGCAGGUACUUUUAAGUCUAUGGCUAGACUGAGAUAAGCAUGUCUGCUGAUGAUGGAAUUGUUCAGAUGUAGCCUGUCUAGUUUACUCAGAGGCCACCAAGCAAAGCCAGAGGAGCAGUGGGAGGCAUGCCAGGAAGUUGACAUUGAAGCGACUUUCCCAGGCUCCAGAGGCAACAAUCAGGUGAGCCCAUCCUCUCCAUAAGGAGGGCUAUGCUGACCAACUGGAAGCUUGGGGAGCAUGGUCUAGUGUGGGCUAGCCCAGCAUCAAGGAGAGAAGGCCAUUCUAGGGUAGCAUGUGAAAUAUGUGCACCUUGACUCCAUUGUGCUUGUUUCCUAGGCUUUAAUGGGGCUUAUAAACACUCAGUCUGCUUAUAAACACUCAGUUGGAUAAUUAGCAAAUGUUUAUUUGCUAUUGUGUGCAUAAAGCACUAUGCUAGACACUGGGGCCAUUCAGGGCAACCUGGCUAGGGUGGUGUUUUCUAUGUUUGCCCUUCUACCACCUAUCCUGAUACAUAUGUCUCUCUAUAUAUAGCAAGAAAAAGCAAAUAUGUGCUCUUUUCUUUCCAGAAUCUCUUGUUUGCGGCCCUUUUCCUAAAUCAGUCAGAGGUAUAUGCAUUCUUUGGAGAAAAAUUUAAAUUGUUAGAAAAAAAGAGACAAAAAUUUAUUUCUCUUUAAAUUUCCCAAAUCAGCUCUUUUGCCCUCUUAUUAAAUUGAGGUAUGACAUGCCUACAGUGAGU